CCCCUUUGGGUGGGGGCAUGGGGACUGUGGGAUGAUAG
rnacentral:rRNA from 1 species